GUACAACGUAAGACCAGUAGCUGACAUCCAGAUGUUCAAGAGGUGGGAGAUAAGUCCUUGUUAGUGUAGACAGCCUGCACCAGAAACAGGACCCAGUGGCCCCUGAGCUGGAUCUGACCUGAAAGCCUCCUCCCUGAGGACUAACUUUCAUGGAACUAGAACGUGCUGUGCAAGCUUCCAGUGUAGUCCUCACCACUCGUCAAAGAAACGUCUCUUUGUAACAGAUGAAGACCAUUACAGAAAACCACAUUUGAUCAAAAUGCAGAGAACAAGAGACCACAUGUUGCCCACCUCCACUGAUACAUCUACGACUCCGGCACCAAGGGUUCCUGGAUCAUUGUAAAAGAAGGGGCAGAAAAAUAGGUGAGAGCCACAGGAAAGGAAGUUUGCUGUGAUAUUGUACCCCCUACACAUGCCAGAGAAGCAGCGCUCAUGAAGUCUCAUCGCAUGGCUACCUAACUCAAACAUGAACAAAGACGACAGUAGUGGACAUGCUCCCGUGGAAGGGGAAAACUCAGGAGGCUACAACCUUAGACAAAGAAUUACAGGCAACGAAGUGGAGAAAUAGUCUCCCCUAGAGAAGAGAACUUCCUACUGGUCAUCCAGCACUAAGUGACCAGUUCUGAAAUCACAAGCCACAUAUAUAAAAGUAACACUGUAAGGGCUAAGUGGGUUGUAUUUAUAUAUUAAGGAAUACACAUAUGGAUAUAUAUGAAUAUAUAUAUUUAGGACUAUAUGUAUUUAGGAAUAUAUGUGUAUGUAUAUGUGUUUGUAUGUAUGUGUAAGAACAAU
rnacentral:lncRNA from 1 species